AUUGAACGCUGGCGGCAUGCCUUACACAUGCAAGUCGAACGGUAACAGGUCUUCGGAUGCUGACGAGUGGCGAACGGGUGAGUAAUACAUCGGAACGUGCCCGAGAGUGGGGGAUAACGAGGCGAAAGCUUUGCUAAUACCGCAUACGAUCUCAGGAUGAAAGCAGGGGACCGCAAGGCCUUGCGCUCACGGGGCGGCCGAUGGCAGAUUAGGUAGUUGGUGGGAUAAAAGCUUACCAAGCCGACGAUCUGUAGCUGGUCUGAGAGGACGACCAGCCACACUGGGACUGAGACACGGCCCAGACUCCUACGGGAGGCAGCAGUGGGGAAUUUUGGACAAUGGGCGCAAGCCUGAUCCAGCCAUGCCGCGUGCAGGAUGAAGGCCUUCGGGUUGUAAACUGCUUUUGUACGGAACGAAAGGACUCUGGUUAAUACCUGGGGUCCAUGACGGUACCGUAAGAAUAAGCACCGGCUAACUACGUGCCAGCCGCCGCAGUAACAC
rnacentral:rRNA from 1 species